rnacentral:rRNA from 1 species
GGCAGCGCGGGGCAACCUGGCGGCGAGUGGCGAACGGGUGAGUAAUAUAUCGGAACGUACCCAAGAGUGGGGGAUAACGCAGCGAAAGUUGCGCUAAUACCGCAUACGAUCUAAGGAUGAAAGCAGGGGACCGCAAGGCCUUGUGCUCCUGGAGCGGCCGAUAUCUGAUUAGCUAGUUGGUGAGGUAAAGGCUCACCAAGGCGACGAUCAGUAGCUGGUCUGAGAGGACGACCAGCCACACUGGAACUGAGACACGGUCCAGACUCCUACGGGAGGCAGCAGUGGGGAAUUUUGGACAAUGGGCGCAAGCCUGAUCCAGCAAUGCCGCGUGAGUGAAGAAGGCCUUCGGGUUGUAAAGCUCUUUUGUCAGGGAAGAAACGGCUGUGGCUAAUAUCCACGGCUAAUGACGGUACCUGAAGAAUAAGCACCGGCUAACUACGUGCCAGCAGCCGCGGUAAUACGUAGGGUGCAAGCGUUAAUCGGAAUUACUGGGCGUAAAGCGUGCGCAGGCGGUUUUGUAAGUCUGACGUGAAAUCCCCGGGCUUAACCUGGGAAUUGCGUUGGAGACUGCAAGGCUAGAAUCUGGCAGAGGGGGGUAGAAUUCCACGUGUAGCAGUGAAAUGCGUAGAGAUGUGGAGGAACACCGAUGGCGAAGGCAGCCCCCUGGGUCAAGAUUGGCGCUCAUGCACGAAAGCGUGGGGAGCAAACAGGAUUAGAUACCCUGGUAGUCCACGCCCUAAACGAUGUCUACUAGUUGUCGGGUCUUAAUUGACUUGGUAACGCAGCUAACGCGUGAAGUAGACCGCCUGGGGAGUACGGUCGCAAGAUUAAAACUCAAAGGAAUUGACGGG